GAGUUUGAUCCUGGCUCAGAUUGAACGCUGGCGGCAUGCCUUACACAUGCAAGUCGAACGGCAGCAUGAUCUAGCUUGCUAGAUUGAUGGCGAGUGGCGAACGGGUGAGUAAUACAUCGGAACGUGCCCUGUAGUGGGGGAUAACUAGUCGAAAGAUUAGCUAAUACCGCAUACGACCUGAGGGUGAAAGUGGGGGACCGCAAGGCCUCAUGCUAUAGGAGCGGCCGAUGUCUGAUUAGCUAGUUGGUGGGGUAAAGGCCCACCAAGGCGACGAUCAGUAGCUGGUCUGAGAGGACGAUCAGCCACACUGGGACUGAGACACGGCCCAGACUCCUACGGGAGGCAGCGGUGGGGAAUUUUGGACAAUGGGCGAAAGCCUGAUCCAGCAAUGCCGCGUGUGUG
rnacentral:rRNA from 1 species